GGUUAAGAUCACUAAGUCACUAAAGCCAAACGCCUUCCCUGGCCGUGAUACGCACACGAGAGUAAGAAGCCCGAUUACGAAAGUAGCUUUACAACACCUGAACCCACGAAAGCUAGGACACAAACUGGGAUUAGAGACCUCACUAUGCCUAGCUAUAAACAUAGACAGUUUUUACACCUAACUGUCCGCCCGGGAACUACGAGCGCUAGCUUAAAACCCAAAGGACUUGGCGGUGCUUUAGACCCCCCUAGAGGAGCCUGUUCUAGAAUCGAUAACCCCCGUUCAACCUCACCCUUCCUUGCUCUUUCCGCCUAUAUACCACCGUCGUCAGUUUACCCUUUGAGGGUCGAACAGUAAGCACAAUUGGCUCCCCCCUAAAACGUCAGGUCAAGGUGUAGCGAAUGGAAGGGAAAGAAAUGGGCUACAUUGCUUGACACCAAGGCAUACGAACGAUAUGUUGAAAUACAUAACUGAAGGAGGAUUUAGCAGUAAGCAGGAAAUAGAGUGUCCCGCUGAAAUCGGCUCUAAAGCGCGCACACACCGCCCGUCACUCUCCCCGA
rnacentral:rRNA from 1 species